UACGUAGGGUGCAAGCGUUACUCGGAAUUACUGGGCGUAAAGCGUGCGCAGGCGGUGCUGUAAGACAGUUGUGAAAUCCCCGGGCUCAACCUGGGAACUGCAUCUGUGACUGCAUUUCUGGAGUACGGCAGAGGGGGAUGGAAUUCCGCGUGUAGCAGUGAAAUGCGUAGAUAUGCGGAGGAACACCGAUGGCGAAGGCAAUCCCCUGGGCCUGCACUGACGCUCAUGAACGAAAGCGUGGGGAGCAAACAGG
rnacentral:rRNA from 1 species